GACGAACGCUGGCGGCGUGCUUAACACAUGCAAGUCGAACGGAAAGGCCCCUUUGGGGGUUCUCGAGUGGCGAACGGGUGAGUAACACGUGAGUAACCUGCCCUUGACUUCGGGAAAACCUCCGGAAACUGGGGCCAAUUCCGGAUAGGAAUCCUUGCUGCAUGGUGGGGGUUGGAAAGCUUCGGCGGUUUUGGAUGGACUGGCGGCGUAUCAGCUUGUUGGUGGGGUAGUGGCUUACCAAGGCUUUGACGGGUAGCUGGCCUGAGAGGGUGAGCGGCCACACUGGGACCGAGAUGCGGCCCAGACUCCGACGAGUGGCAGCAGUGGGGAAUAUUGCACAAUGGGCGGAAGCCUGAUGCAGCAACGCCUCGUGCGGGAUGACGGCCUUCGGGUUGUAAACCGCUUUCAGCAGGGGCGAAGCUUGUGGUGACGGUACCUGCAGAAGAAGCACCGGCUAACUACGUG
rnacentral:rRNA from 1 species